rnacentral:tRNA from 1 species
UUUUUAGUGUUUAGUUUAUUUUUAAGUAAAGAAUUUUGAGUUCUUUUUUAAUUAAUUUUAAGAAA